GGCCGGAUGGCCGAGUGGUCUAAGGCGUCAGAUUUAAGAACCAUUGCUUCCUGAUGGGUGUGAACCCGCGCGAGUUCGAACCUCGCUUCGGCCA